rnacentral:rRNA from 1 species
GAUGAACGCUAGCGGCAGGCCUAAUACAUGCAAGUCGAACGGGGCAGCAAUGCCUAGUGGCGGACGGGUGAGGAAUACGUAGGAAUCUGCCCUUAAGUGGGGGAUAACCAGGGGAAACCCUGACUAAUACCGCAUGAUCUCUUCGGAGCAAAGAGGGGGACCGCAAGGCCUCUCGCUUCUGGAUGAGCCUACGUCUGAUUAGCUAGUUGGUAGGGUAAAGGCCUACCAAGGCGACGAUCAGUAACUGGUCUGAGAGGAUGAUCAGUCACACCGGAACUGAGACACGGGCCGGACUCCUACGGGAGGCAGCAGUGGGGAAUAUGGGACAAUGGGCGCAAGCCUGAUCCAGCAAUGCCGCGUGUGUGAAGAAGGCCUUCGGGUUGUAAAGCACUUUAGCCUGGAAGGAAAAAACUUUGGUUAACACCCAAAGUCUUGACGGUACCAGGAGAAUAAGCACCGGCUAACUCUGAGCCAGCCGCCGCAGUAAGAC